GACGAACGCUGGCGGCGUGCCUAAUACAUGCAAGUUGAGCGCUGAAGGUUGGUACUUGUACCAACUGGAUGAGCAGCGAACGGGUGAGUAACGCGUGGGGAAUCUGCCUUUGAGCGGGGGACAACAUUUGGAAACGAAUGCUAAUACCGCAUAAAAACUUUAAACACAAGUUUUAAGUUUGAAAGAUGCAAUUGCAUCACUCAAAGAUGAUCCCGCGUUGUAUUAGCUAGUUGGUGAGGUAAAGGCUCACCAAGGCGAUGAUACAUAGCCGACCUGAGAGGGUGAUCGGCCACAUUGGGACUGAGACACGGCCCAAACUCCUACGGGAGGCAGCAGUAGGGAAUCUUCGGCAAUGGACGAAAGUCUGACCGAGCAACGCCGCGUGAGUGAAGAAGGUUUUCGGAUCGUAAAACUCUGUUGGUAGAGAAGAACGUUGGUGAGAGUGGAAAGCUCAUCAAGUGACGGUGACUACCCAGAAAGGGACGGCUAACUACGUG
rnacentral:rRNA from 1 species